UAUUAAGGGUGUGCAAUCGCAAACAGAGCCACGUCCAAAAGAAGAAAAAAUCGCUCAGAACCGGAUCGAUUUUUUCAGGAUCCCAUAAAGGACUCCAUGAAUGGUUAAUGUUUAUUUACAGGUUUGCACAAGGAUUGAGAUUACGUCAGAUUGACAUGAUGGAAGAUGGAGUGGCAUCCAGUUCAACAACACUCUCAAAAAUGACCAAAAAGCUCAGAAAGGUGUGCACAACUGCAUUGAGAAGAAUGAAAAGAAAGCAUCAAUUCAAAAUUGGAGGGCACUCAAGACACCGUUUUCUUUAUAACCGUGGACGGUAUGGUGGUACCUGGGCAAGACACGGAUGGGUGUUUGGUCUGUUAGAAGUACACCACUGUAGCCGAAGGCCUAUUCUUAAGCUGGUCCCUUCACGAGCACGCAAAACUCUGCUUCCAAUCAUUAGGCGGCAUGUGCGUAGAGGUUCAACAAUUUACAGUGAUUCCUGGCGGGCAUAUGUACAGUCCCUCACUACACAAGGCUAUCACCACUAUCCGGUAAACCACAAAAACAACUUUGUGGAUCCACAGACUGGCAGCCACACUCAACACAUUGAGAGAUACUGGCAAACAAUUAAAGGACAAGUGUGGAGAUUAAGGGGGAACCGUACUGAGAAAAUGCUGAAGAGUCACUUAAAGUUUAUUGAAUGGACAUAUU